AAAGUUUCAGAUCCAGUGUGAAGAAGAACAGGAGGAAAAGGAAAAGAAAGAAUGCAGAAAGAAGAAGCAGGAAGAAGAAGCAUAUUAUCAGGUUUUGUUUAUAAAUGUCGUCAGUCGGAUGGGUGUGGCUCAGUAUUAAUAGAGAAAUCAGAUUUAGUUGGAAUCUACAACAAUAUGAAGAACUAUUCAGAAAUCUCCCUGUUUUUAUUAAUAAUCUGUGUGUUUGGAGAUGAGGAAGAUGGAGUGAAGAGAGAGUCAGUGAAUGAGGGAGAUUCUGUCACUCUAGACACUCGUUUAAGAGAGAAAUUUAAUCAUAUAAAGUGGAGGUUUGGAGAUUCAGGCUCAAUCAUUGCUGAAUCUGAUAGAUAUGAGCCCUCAUAUCGUAAAGAUGAGCGAUUCAGAGACAGACUGAAGCUGAAUCAUCAGACUGGAUCUCUGACCAUCAACAACAUGAGAAUCACAGACACUGGAGUUUAUGAAAUAGAGAUCAGUCACGGCACUGGGACCUCAACUGUGACAUUCAUUGUUACUGUCCAUGUGUUUGGAGCUGAUGGAGAUGGAGUGAAGAGAGUGUCAGUGAUGGAGGGAGAUUCUGUCACUCUAGGCCCUCGUUUAAGAGAGAAAUUUAAUCUAAUACAGUGGAGGCUUGGAGAUUCAGAGUCAAUCAUUGCUGAAAUUGAUGGAAAUAAGAUCUCAUAUACUGAUGAUGAGAGAUUCAGAGACAGACUGAAGCUGAAUGAUCAGACUGGAUCUCUGACCAUCAACAACAUGAGAAUCACAGACUCUGGAGUUUAUCAUCUAGAGAUCAAUUACAACACUGGGACCUCAAAUCAGAAAUUCAAUGUUACUGUCUAUGGAUCAUCUGUUACAGAACUGUCUCAUGGUCCUGUAGUAGCAAUAGCUUUUGUCGUUCUGCUGGUGUUAUCUGGUGUUUUAUACUAUUACUAUAAGAUCUCUAAACGACGAAGGCAAAAUGAUGAAGAGAAGACUGAAUCCGCUAAAGAGGGAGAAUCUGUCGCUCUAAAGACUGAUACUGAAAAACAGACAGAUGAAGAGAAACUGGAGCUGGAUCAUCAAUCUAGAUCUCUGAAAAACACAGACUCUGGAGAUUCAGAUCUAUAGAUCGAACCCUGUAGCGAAGGUUCCACAGGAAAACAUCCAAUUGAGUCUUUAGAGAUUCAACUGUUGAGUGAAGAAGAUCCGGAUAGAGCAAGAGUUUUGUACGUUAAGGACGCCCACAACUUAGUGCAUCAUGAAAACAUUUAGUUGAUGGCGCUAUGGAGCCAUGUGCUUUUUAAUCUAUUUGAAUAGGCUUAAUGUUACAUAUCAGCUCGGAAAAUACACUAAUUUGAUUAGAAACACCAGUUACUAUCCUUUAAGUCAGGAGUGACUUCCAUGUUCAGGAAAAAGACACCCAGUGCUCAAAAUAGGUACUGCAGUCCAAAUUCAAAAUAUUGUUUGGCCCGCCUCCUCGUUCAAAGACGCGAGUUGCCAGUAACAAGAGGGAGCGCAAUUCACAAUGAAAGCUGAGGAGACUUACACACUGUAAGCUGAUGAGUUGAUUUAUCUGUUUUAAUAUGCUGUCGUUCAUAGAGAUUUUUAGAUGGAUUCAGAGGCUUUUUAGGUCAAGUAGAAUCUGCGAUUCUCUGACCCAGUUUGUUUGUUGGUUUCCAUGGUUGCAAUGCGCGGUGUUUUCCGCCAACUCGCAACCUGUGAUCAGGGCCGUCUGAAGGAAUUUGGGGGCCCCAAGCAAAAUGGACAUGGAGGCCCCCUGACCCCCGCACGCACGCAAAGCCUACAGGAACCACAGCAUAGCCAUACAGUUUAAGUUCACCCACACUUUAUAUAAAUAAAAAAGGUUUACAGUGCAAAGGGAAUGGGAUACUGCUUAAAAAUACUGCUUGAAAAAAUAUUUGAAAUUUGAACAUUUUCAACAAUUGAACAUUUGCAAAAAACAGCACUAUGGCAGCACACACUUAUCAGUUUAAACUCUGGGCUGUGCAGGAUAUCAGCUAUAAUUAAGGAGCUUGUGGUACCUUGUGCUAUAGAGGAAACUUCAGCACUGAGAAGUGAUGCAUCUGUUGAUGUUGAGGAUGAAGUUGAUGGUGUAGCUGGGAAAAUAAUUGAAAAAAAAAACUGAAAUUACCUGUGAAGUACGUUUAACCAUUUCACUGUUAGCAUAUUGAAAGAGGUCACUAUUAACAGCUCAGCUCAGUGAGAGAAAUUCACUCUACCUUCAUCAGUGGAGGUAUCCUUAGGAAAAGCCUGAGGGCUGAGAAAUUUAAGCAAAGCACCUUGAGGGAGAAAGAAAAGAUGGUAACACUUUAUAAUAACAAUCAUUAAUAGAUGGUAAAUUGAUAGUUAAUUAAUCUUUAGUUAAUUGUCAUUUAACUGUUAGCAAACAGUAUUUUUACUUAUUAUAAAGUUUACCAAAAACUUAAAGAUAUCUUAGCAUUUCCAUAUUUUGAUAUUAGAAGGGAAGGGAUGCAGGCAGCUGCUUACCAAUGCUUAAAAACAUCCCAAGCUAAUGUUUGAUGCACAGAAUUUAUUGUGUGGUUUUCCUAACCCCCAUUUGGAAAAUAGAUUAUCACAGUGGAAUAGUAUAGCAUGCUAUUUGCUAUGCCACUUUCAUCAAAACCUAUUACAAAGCUACAGCAAUGUCAUGUCAUUAAAUACGAUAAACAGUGAUUCUGGAACAGAUCUGGGUCUUCCUUAUCCCGUUAAAAAACAUUACAGUAACCAUAUUCUGUCCGUUCGAAAAAAAGUUGCACUAACUGUUUGUUACAAGCAGCAUUUGCCGUCAGGCAGGUAGCUAACAUAAACAUAUUUUUGCUAGCCUACCUGCUGCAAAAUUACACCAUUUGUACAAGACUGACAAGUAGAGCUAUUUUAUCCAGUGUAAUUUAUCACUUACCACUAUCUUGUUUUUUCUUAUCCUCCUCUUCCUUUCUCUUCUUUCUCUUCUGGCUUCCUGAAGCAUAAUUCCGCUUCAUGACUGCCGAGGAGGUUUUGUAUUUUGCCGGCAGCAGAGAUCACGUGGUUGGCUGGCUGCUGUCAGCGACUACUGAAAGGGGCCCCCUUGAGGGGGGAUCCCGAUAACAGUGUCAUUGCACUUUACUGCAUUGACGAUCAAAGGGGCACUCACACAGUGUCGUUGCAUUUUAAUCUUAACCAGUCGUUGUCUUGGGGCCCCAGGCCAGCUCGGGGUUCCAAGCAAUUGCUUGGUUUGCUUGCCUUGUCGCGACGGGCCUGCCUGUGAUGUCGAAAUACUAUUGGAUAAUCUGGCAGAAUGCGGUUUUGCACAGACCAAAACAAAGACAGACAUUCCGACACGGAACGCACAUUUUCAAAGUAGAAUAAAAAAAGAGGCUGUAGCAU